ACUAAAAUGUAUAAUAUAAUCUUAAAAAUUUAUGUACUGCCAACAUCGUACUACAUCGAUCCUGAUUGAGCAGUACAAACAUUACAAGCAUGUACUAGCAAAUUGUAUAUAUAUGAGAAAGAUAUAGUCAUAUAUAUCAUCCAUAUGGAGGGAGACUCAUGAGGUGGACGUGAUAUUAAUAGCACGAUGAAGAUUUUGAGAUGCCUUAGUAAAUGCAAUGAUGGUGGAAGUCCAAACCCACUUUCAGGCCAAAAGCAAAGCAAAGUUAUUCAUCUUUUACUCGUCUUUAGAAGAGUAUGACACGGUUGAUGACUUGGAGCUUCAUGAAGAAAAUGAGUUUGAUGCUCUGUAUGAUGAUGAUGAUGUUGGUGAUGAUGAAGAUUUGGAUGAGAUAUGAUUUGUUUGUUCAUUUCAUGUUAUGACUUAUGUUAUUAACAUUUUAUUUUGGGAAUUUAAGUUAUGAUUUGCACAUUGAAUUUCGAUAAUUUGU